GACGAACGCUAGCUACAGGCUUAACACAUGCAAGUCGAGGGACCGGCGCACGGGUGAGUAACACGUAUCCAACCUGCCCUUUACUAGGGGAUAGCCUUUCGAAAGAUAGAUUAAUACCCGAUAUCAAGGAUGGGGAUGCGUUCCAUUAGGUUGUUGGUGAGGUAAUGGCUCACCAAGCCUUCGAUGGACAGGGGUUCUGAUAGGAAGGUCCCCCACAUUGGAACGGAGACACAGACCAAACGCCUACGGGAGACAGCAGUGAUGAAUAUUAGGCAAUGGGCGCUAGCCUGAACCAGCCAAGUAGCGUGAAGGAUGAAGGCUUAUUAGUCGUAGACUUCUUUUAUAUAAGAAUAUGUAUUAUAUUAAUAAGGAUCGACUAACGCCGUGCCAGCAGCCGCGGUAAUUC
rnacentral:rRNA from 1 species